rnacentral:lncRNA from 1 species
AACAAAACAAGAAACAUAUAAAACAUCCAAACAGUAAGAGAGUAAGAGAAUAAAUAUCGGAAAGAAAAAUAAAAGGAAGAAAUAUAAUACAAAAUCAUAACAACAAACAUUAUGACAGGAACGAUCCCCACCCACAUGCUCGCAUAGUUAAGAAUCAAUGAUUUAGUUUAUAUAUGAAGCUUAACAACAUAUCACCUUAAUGUCAACCAAAAGAAAACAACAUCAUAUCUUGAGAAACAAAAUGUACCUUCACACUAGAAAGUAGAAAGUAUCCUCGUAAUGACCUUAAGGCUUACAGAAUCAUCAUUGACAACCACAAUUUGAAUCCUUUGAAAUAGGCCUUGGUUUUCGAAGGCUGUUUCCAUGGAGGGCUAAAAUGAGCUAUGGAGGCUACCAAGAAGAGUGAAAAGAGAGACACCUUUGAGGUGAGGCAACAUGGUGUGGUUUCUUAUAGAUAAAAGAAAGAAGACAGGUGAUAGCAGAUGAAAAAGCAGGAUAGAUGAAAACAAAAGCAAUAAUUUUUUUUAGUAAAAUUUUUGAACUUCUACAAGAUAUCUGUCGUGCACCACUUUAUGUACUUUUUUGAAUGUAUAUGUGCCCUAAUUUGUCAACUUCAUGGAAAAAAAAUCAGAACUCAACAAAAAUAUGUUGUUACCAAAAUAACACAGAGAAAAAAAACAUGAAGGGCAUUGUUGUGAAAAAUGUUGCAAGCAAGGACAUUACAAUUUGGUAGCAGGGUAGUUUGGUCAUUUUGUUAAAUAAUGUAUAGGAUGAAAGUAAUGUCAUAUGAUUAUUUUGUAAAUAUAAAUUUGUUUUGAUAAUUUU